GACUCUAACAACCAAACAGAGGAACACUGUGGGCAUUGGUAGAUCCCAUUUAAAAACAGGGCGCCAAAUAAUGCAAAAUAUUAAGAAGAGCACACACUGAUCAUCUUAUGCCUGAGUCCUGCAGAUCCCCUCAUCUCAUUUUAGGAUGUUUUUUUUAUGUUACUGUCAGACAAGGAUUACAUCCUCCAAAAAAUGACUCAGAACUCCUGACCGUAUGUGGGAAUGCAGUUUUACAGUAUGCUGCUGCCUGAGUCAAAGCAAGGCGGAUCGUUUCCUCCUCUGAGAUCCCUCAUCUCCUAGCCACAAGUUGCUUAAAUAAAUGUGCAUAAGGACACUUAGAUCCUGGCCAGAUGGAAGAGAAUAUGAAGCUUUGCAUCCGAUUUGAUCCAAAACCCAUUAAAUGUGACUCCUCUGCUCACUGACAACUCACAUAAAGCAAAGACCCUGAAACACGCCACCUAUCUUUAUAAGGAGGGAUAAUUGAAGAUCACCAAACGUGAACAUCAUGUGGAAACGUGAUCACCAAGUCUCUCUCUCUGGGAAAGGAUCUGUGUUAGAUUAUACCUUGAAGUCACAGCAAAUGCUUAGUUGAAGAAUUGAAAUUCAACCCCCCCCCCCUUCCACACACACACACACCUCCCCUCCUCUCUAUCCCUCUACCUCCCUCCCCAACCAUCAACUCUUUGGCAUCAUUAUCUUCGUCACUAAAUCCUACUGGAUACAAGGCUGAAAACAUUUUACACCAAUCACAGAUCUUAUAACCCAAAGGAACUUAAACUUACAGAGAAUUUUUUUUUACAACAAUCCCAUGUCUACAAUCAAGAUCAUCCCACAGCACAGACUUCCACUGUAAUAUAUUGAUGCCUAUGGAUUUCUUUGUAUAUAUUUAUUGUUUUAUAUUUUGCAUUAAUGUUAUAUUUUGAUUUUUAUGCAUAUUUAUUGUUUAUUUUUUCAUGCAAUUUACAAACAAAAUGCUGAUAUUUGUUUUUUGUUAUUUAUUUAUUUUAUGCGCUUGUGCUUGAAGAAAAUAUAUGUUUUUCAGGAAAUCAUAUAUGUUUUUUUCUUUUAAUUUUCUUGGUUAAUGGAAGCAAGAAUUCUUCACUAUAACCGUUGAUUAGAGGAUGUAAUACACUUUGUUAUUGGAUAAAUGACUAAAGACAGUUUGUAGGGUAAAAGUAAGUUUAUUAUACUUGUAUUAAUUGCAUGGCAAUAAUGAUCUUUUUUAUGUAUAUUUGUAAUUAAGAGGUUGUGUAAGUAUAUGCAGAUUUUUGAUGUGGUUCCAAGAGACUUCUGUAUCUGCAUGGUUAAUUAAAUCAUCAGUCAAAGGUU